UCCCAGCACUUCUUGGUAAUUUGUAUUUGUCCUAAUACUGUAGCUUAUUCUUCUGCCUAGUUGGCUUUGCAGAGGUUAGGUCCAAAUAGUGUUGACUGUGUGAACUAAACUGUGUUCUUGGCUAUAAAUAGCUGUACAAAAUAAGUAUUAUACCUUACUGAACCUGUGUUUAGCAUUGUCCAAUGACCAUGAUAUGCACUUUUGUACGUCGCUUUGGAUAAAAGCGUCUGCUAAAUAAAUGUAAUGUAAUGUAAUGU